UGCGUGCGCGCCACCGCCAUCGCCAUCGCCUUCCUGGUUUGGACAGCUCUACCGGCUCCUCCCGCACGGCGGCGACGGGGCAGGAAUGUUAUAACUGCCAGAAUCAUGGCCUCCCAAUUUUGCAGAUGAGGAAACUGAAGCUUAGAGGGAGUAAAUGACUUGCAAAAUCCAUAAAGCGGGCUGGGCGCGGUGGCCCACGGCUGUAAUCCCAGCACUUUGGGAGGCGGAGGCGAGUGGAUCACGAGGUCAAGAGAUCGAGACCAUCCUGGCCAACAUGGUGAAACCCUGUCUCUACUAAAAAUGCAAAAAUUAGCUGGGGGUGGUGGCGCGCGCCUGUAGUCCCAGCUACUCGGGAAGCUGAGGCAGGAGAAUCGCUUGAACCCGGGAGGCGGAGGUUGCAGUGAGCCGAGAUCACACCACUGCACUCCAGCCUGGCGACAGAGCGAGACUCCAUCUCAACAGAAAAAAAAAAAAAAAAAAAAAAAAAAAGCCGGGCGUGGUGGCUCAUCCCUGUAAUCCCAGCACUUUGGAAGGCUGAGUUGGGUGGAUCACCUGACGUCAGGAGUUCCAGACCAGCCUUGGCCAACAUGAUGAAACCCCAUCUCUACUAAAAAUACAAAAAAUUAACGUGGUGUGGUGGCGGGUGCCUGUAAUCCCAGCUACUUGGGAGGCUGAGGCAGGAGAAUCGCUUGAACACGGGAGGCGGAGGUUGCAGUGAGCCAAGGUCACACCAUUGCACUCCAGUCUGGGCAACAAGAGCGAGACUCUGUCUCCAAAAAAAAAAAUCCAUAAAGCAGCUGGGCGCGGUGGCUCACGUCUGUAAUCCCAGCACUUUGGGAGGCCGAGGCGGUAGAAUCGCUUGAGCCCAGGAGUUCGAGACCAGGCUGGGCAACAAAGCAAGACACUAUCUCUACAAAAAAUAAAAUAGCCGAAUAUCGUGGUGUGCUCCUGUAGUUCCGGCUACUCAGGAGCCUGAAGCAGAAGGAUUGCUUGAGUCCAGGAGUUGGAGGCUGAGGUAUGGCACCACUACACUGAAAUCUGGGUGACAGAACAAGUCCCUGUCUUAAAAAAAAAAAAAAAAAACAAAAAAACUUUCUAAGUGAAUAAUAAAAAAUAUGUCCUUACAUUUGUGUCUAUACACAAAUGUAUAUCAUUUGUGUAUAUCAUUCACAAAACAUUUAUGUACUUUUUCUCAUUAUUGGGGAGUUAUUUGCUUAGCUGUAGAAAUGACAGGAUUGAAAAAGUGCCUUCUCAGGCCCAGGGAUGAAUUGCUGACCUAGAAUAAAUUACAGGGAAGAACCAAAGUUCUUAAAAUAUCAUCUAUUCUGGCCUAUCAAGACAACAGCUAUAUCCUCAAACCAUCUCUAUCAAAAUUUACUCCCUUCUGGUUCCUCUCCCAGCCAUGUGCAGGUAGAACAUGCAUCUAAAAUAAAAUGGUAAAAACCUG